rnacentral:rRNA from 1 species
UACGAAGGGGGCGAGCGUUGUUCGGAAUCACUGGGCUUAAAGGGCGCGUAGGCGGGUUCGCAAGUCUGUGGUGAAAGCCUCCAGCUUAACUGGAGAAGUGCCGUGGAUACUGCGAAUCUUGAGGAGGGUAGGGGCAUCUGGAACGGUCGGUGGAGCGGUGAAAUGCGUUGAUAUCGACCGGAACUCCGGUGGCGAAGGCGAGGUGCUGGACCCUUUCUGACGCUGAGGCGCGAAAGCCAGGGGAGCAAACGGG